rnacentral:rRNA from 1 species
GAACGCUGGCGGCAGGCCUAACACAUGCAAGUCGAACGGUAACAUUUCUAGCUUGCUAGAAGAUGACGUGUGGCGGACGGGUGAGUAAUGCUUGGGAACUUGCCUUUGCGAGGGGGAUAACAGUUGGAAACGACUGCUAAUACCGCAUAAUGUCUACGGACCAAACGGGGCUUCGGCUCCGGCGCAAAGAGAGGCCCAAGUGAGAUUAGCUAGUUGGUAAGGUAACGGCUUACCAAGGCGACGAUCUCUAGCUGUUCUGAGAGGAAGAUCAGCCACACUGGGACUGAGACACGGCCCAGACUCCUACGGGAGGCAGCAGUGGGGAAUAUUGCACAAUGGGGGAAACCCUGAUGCAGCCAUGCCGCGUGUGUGAAGAAGGCCUUCGGGUUGUAAAGCACUUUCAGUUGUGAGGAAAAGUUAGUAGUUAACACCUGCUAGCCGUGACGUUAACAACAGAAGAAGCACCGGCUAACUCCGUGCCAGCAGCCGCGGUAAUACGGAGGGUGCGAGCGUUAAUCGGAAUUACUGGGCGUAAAGCGCACGCAGGCGGUUUGUUAAGCUAGAUGUGAAAGCCCCGGGCUCA